CUGGUGGCCACAUCAUGUUGAAACACUGGUUCCCAUAUUAUCACCAAAGUUAAGCAAUGUCAAGCCUGAUCAGUACCUAUAUGGGUAACCGUUUGGGAAUAUCAGGUACUGUAAG